GGAUGCGAUCAUACCAGCCCUAAAGCAUCGGAUCCCAUCAGAACUCCGAAGUUAAGCGUGCUUGGGCGAGAGUAGAACUAGGAUGGGUGACCUCCUGGGAAGUCCUCGUGUUGCAUCCC
rnacentral:rRNA from 1 species